UACGUAGGGGGCGAGCGUUGUCCGGAUUUAUUGGGCGUAAAGAGCGUGUAGGCGGCCAGGUAGGUCUGGUGUGAAAACUCGAGGCUUAACCUCGAGAUGUCAUCGGAAACCAUCUGGCUAGAGUCCGGAAGAGGAGAGUGGAAUUCCUGGUGUAGCGGUGAAAUGCGCAGAUAUCAGGAAGAACACCCGUGGCGAAGGCGGCUCUCUGGGACGGUACUGACGCUGAGACGCGAAAGCGUGGGGAGCGAACAGG
rnacentral:rRNA from 1 species